rnacentral:rRNA from 1 species
CCUACGGGAGGCAGCAGUGAGGAAUAUUGGUCAAUGGACGAAAGUCUGAACCAGCCAUGCCGCGUGAAGGAAGACGGCUCUACGAGUUGUAAACCGCUUUUGUCCGAGGGUAAACGCAGAUACGCGUAUCUCUUUGAAAGUACCGGACGAAAAAGGAUCGGCUAACUCCGUGCCAGCAGCCGCGGUAAUACGGAGGAUUCAAGCGUUAUCCGGAUUUAUUGGGUUUAAAGGGUGCGUAGGCGGUCGGAUAAGUUAGCGGGGAAAUCCCGAGGCUCAACUUCGGGAUGGCCUCUGAUACUGGUAGGCUAGAGUGGAGGAGAGGUAGGCGGAAUGUGUGGUGUAGCGGUGAAAUGCAUAGAUAUC